rnacentral:rRNA from 1 species
GACGUAGGGCGCGAGCGUUGUCCGGAAUUACUGGGCGUAAAGAGCUCGUAGGUGGUUUGUCGCGUUGUUCGUGAAAACUCACAGCUUAACUGUGGGCGUGCGGGCGAUACGGGCAGACUGGAGUACUGCAGGGGAGACUGGAAUUCCUGGUGUAGCGGUGGAAUGCGCAGAUAUCAGGAGGAACACCGGUGGCGAAGGCGGGUCUCUGGGCAGUAACUGACGCUGAGGAGCGAAAGCGUGGGGAGCGAACAGG